rnacentral:rRNA from 1 species
AUGGGCACCAGCAACGCGCGAUGGCUGAUGCUCGUGUCGUGUCUGGCCGUCAUGGCCCUGGCGGUGGGAGUAAAGGCGACGGUCGGCGGGUUCGCGAGGGCGGACGGGGCGCGGUUCACGGUGGGCGGCCGGCCGUUCUACCCGAACGGCUUCAACGCAUACUGGCUCAUGUACAUGGCGUCGAACCCCGCCGACCGGAGCAAGGUGCUCGACGUGCUGGACCAGGCGUCCCGCCUCGGCGCGACGGUCAUCAGGACGUGGGCCUUCAGCGAUGGGGGCAGCAACCGGCCGCUGCAGACCACCCCCGGCGUGUACAGCGAGGACGUGUUCGUGGGACUAGACUUCGUGAUCGCCGAAGCGAAGAAGCGAGGUCUCUACUUGAUCCUGAGCCUGGUGAACAACUGGGGUGACUUUGGUGGGAAGAAACAGUACGUGCAGUGGGCCAAAGACCAGGGCCACAACCUGGGCUCCGAGGACGACUUCUUCAGGGACGCCCUCACCCAGCAAUUGUACAAGAAACACGUCGAGAAGGUGCUGACGAGGAUCAACAGCUUCACGGGGGUGGCGUACAAGGACGAGCCCAGCAUCUUUGCAUGGGAGCUGAUGAACGAGCCCCGCGUCCCGACCGACCCCUCCGGGAAGACCAUGCAGGCCUGGGUCACGCUCAUGUCCUCCUACGUCAAGUCCAUGGACGAUAAGCACAUGGUGGAGGUCGGACUCGAGGGGUUCUACGGGGAGUCCACGCCGGAGCUCAAGCGGAUCAACCCUGGCGGAGACUCCGCGGGCACCGACUUCAUCGGAAACAACCGCAUCCCCACCGUCGACUUCGCCACCAUCCACUACUACCCCGACGUGUGGCUGCCGGGUUCGACCAGGGAGCAGCAGGUGGAGUUCUGGAAGACGUGGAUGGCCUCGCACAUCGAGGAAACGGCGAAGGCGCUGCGGAAGCCGCUGGUGGUGGCUGAGUUUGGAUGGAACUCCGUCGGCGGCGCGGUGGCGGCGCGGGACGACUACUUCCGCAUGGUGUACGACGCCAUCUACGCGUCGGUGAAGGGGGGCGGGCCGUGCGCCGGGGGCCUCUUCUGGCAGGUCCUGGCGCCCGGGAUGGAGAGCUGGGCCGACCGCUACGCCGUCGUGCUUGAGCGCAGCUCCACCACCGCCGCCAUCGUCUCCCAGGAGUUCGCUAGGAUCGCCGGAAUCACGCCGUGA